GCAAACUUGGUCAUUUAGAGGAAGUAAAAGUCGUAACAAGGUUUCCGUAGGUGAACCUGCGGAAGGAUCAUUAAUGAGCCGUUGGAGCACUUGUGUUCCAAUGUGGCCCAUCCUUGUUGAUUGUACCUGUUGCUUUGGUCGUAUGUUGGCCCGGUGGUUUGUAAUAGCCGCCGGGUUGACGACGACCAGAGGGCACCGCUUACAUGCGGUGUGUUUUGUCAACCCUUCAGUAUAAUCUUGUGGUCUGAGAUUGUUAUAGCAUAAUGAACUAAAACUUUCAACAACGGAUCUCUUGGUUCCGACAUCGAUGAAGAACGCAGC
rnacentral:misc_RNA from 1 species